rnacentral:snoRNA from 3 species
AGGCAUGAUGAGAAAAGUCAUGCACCACUCUGAAGAGAUUUAUCUCUUUGUGCUGAUAAAGAAACUUACAACCCAUUUUACAUCUGUGCCGCCU